CUCCUUCCUUAUUACUUGACCAAGUUCGUAGGCUCGCAGCUUGCUUGCGUUAGAUAGUAUGAACAGUCGUUGCAGUGUGUGUACCACUAUGUGUCGUUACGUCGUAGCUAUAUAAUUGCGACAGUCGCAAGUGAUUUACGAUCAAUGAUCGUAACACGUAUAGAGUAUUGUAUCAAUACACAAAAUGCAGAAUAAUUAUGAUGUGAGAUCCAGUGGCGAUGCCACCACUGUCACAACUGUGCCACAUCAACGUAUGCAUGAAACAGAAAAUAGAAAGGUCACUGAGAACACCUCUUUAUCUUCGAACAACAAUCAAACCUAUUUUGCCGAUGAAAGGGUGCAAGUGCCAGAAACAGCAAGUGCAGGAUUUAGUUUUAGGAAAUUAUGGGCUUUUACAGGACCUGGUUUUUUAAUGUCUAUAGCUUAUUUGGAUCCUGGUAACAUAGAAUCAGAUCUACAAUCUGGAGUAGUAGCAAGAUAUAAGUUAUUAUGGGUGCUAUUAAGCGCUACACUCUUAGGUCUUGUUAUGCAAAGACUCAGUGCGCGUCUUGGUGUAGUAACUGGUCUACAUCUAGCAGAAAUGUGUUAUAGACAAUACAAAAAAGUACCUAGAUUUAUUUUAUGGAUAAUGAUUGAAAUAGCUAUUAUUGGUAGCGAUAUGCAAGAGGUAAUAGGAACGGCUAUUGCCCUUUAUCUCUUAUCAAAUAAAGUGAUUCCUAUAUGGGGUGGUGUACUUAUUACAGUAAUAGAUACAUUUACAUUUUUAUUCUUGGAUAAAUACGGUUUACGGAAAUUAGAACUUUUUUUUGGUCUUCUCAUUAGCAUCAUGGGUAUUACCUUUGGUUAUGAGUACGUUGUUUCCAAGCCUUCUCAAAUAGACGUUAUAACUGGUAUGUUUGUUCCAUGGUACAAUGGAAUGAAUUACGAUAACAAGGUAUUACUUCAAGCUGUAGGAAUUGUUGGCGCGGUCAUUAUGCCGCAUAAUUUGUAUCUUCACAGUGCCUUGGUCAAAUCGAGAGAUAUUGAUCGAAGACAACCCGCAAAAAUCAGAGAUGCGAAUAUGUAUUACUUCAUUGAGGCUUGCAUUGCAUUGUUUGUUUCAUUUAUAAUUAAUGUGUUUGUAGUGGCUGUAUUUGCUCAUGGUCUUUUUGACAAAACAAACAAUGAUGUUUACAAAAUUUGCGAAGCGAAUAAUUAUACCCUCGGCAUGGAGACUUUUAAAGAGAAUAAUGCGACGAUAGAUGCUGAUCUUUACAAAGGAGGAAUCUUCCUCGGUUGUUCCUUUGGCGCGGCCGCGAUGUACAUAUGGGCUGUCGGUAUUUUGGCCGCCGGUCAGUCAUCUACAAUGACGGGCACCUAUGCCGGUCAAUUCGCAAUGGAAGGGUUUCUGAAUCUGCAAUGGGCCCGUUGGAAGCGAGUUCUCUUUACUCGAACGAUCGCUAUAGUUCCUACGUUCUUAGUAGCAUUCUUUGCCAAUAUGGACAAUUUGAGUGGCAUGAACGAUAUUUUGAACGCUAUAAUGAGCUUGCAAUUACCAUUUGCCACUUUACCUACAAUUGCUUUUACGAGUAGUGUUCAGAUCAUGGGGGAAUUUCGAAACGGAAUAGUAAACAAGGUUGUAUCGACCGCCCUAUCGAUUCUAAUUAUAACGAUAAAUAUAUAUUUCGUAAUACAAACUGUUCAAGAAGACCUGCCCCAACAUUGGGCUAUAUUUCUAGGCAUGUCUGUAUAUGCGAUUUUAUAUCUUAUUUUCUGCGCUUAUUUGGCUAUUCAUAUGGCUGUAAGCAUGGGUGCGACUUCUCUCGGUAACCAUUGGUUUGUCACUAAAUAUAUUGGUACACCUGUGAGCCCAACACUUGGUAUAUCAAAUCCUGCUGUUUAUGCCAGUGACAUAUUUUAAUAGGAAAAUUGUACAUGAAGAACUAAUAUGGUGUUGUGUAUAUAAUUAUAUGCAAACUAUUUAGUGCAAUUGAAUAAUUUUAUGAAGAAAAUUAUUUGGUGGUGUAUAUGUAUGUGUAUAUUUGAUAUUGUUACGUCUCUUCUAUGUUGCACGAUUCAGCAUGUACAUACACUCAAAAUUUUUUGUACAGACUUACUUUUUUACAAAAUGUAAGUUUACGCGAAUAAAAUAUAUUUAUAUUUUAUCAUAUGAAAUACGUUUGAAAGCAACAAGAUUUUUAAAGUUUAAAACUGAAAAAUGCUUAAUAGAUGCUUGAAUAUAUAUCUUUUUCCUAAACCCAAAGGUUGUGGGAAUGAUUAGAAACAUAAAAUUUGCUCCAUAGUGUAAUUUUUGUACUGAAUUAACACAAAUAAUUGCAAGUGAUGAGCCAGCUGAUUUGUGAUUCACCAUGUUUUUUGCACCUUUCUAACAUAAACGAUAAUUGACUCUGCAUUAUUUAUACUAAUGAGAUUGAAUUUCAAUGUUUGCACUUGUUUGGCCAGGCCAUGCAAAAGAAUCGUAUGAAUCAUUUGAUAUGCCAAGUGCUCCAUUUGCUACAAGUUUUCACAAUACGUUGGAAACAUCGUUAAACAUUAGUUGGAAUAAUGCAAUUGAAUAUGCGAGACAAUAUUGAAUGUGCGACUCUUACAUAUUCCACAAACAUGCGAAUAUAAUGUCACGUUGGAAAGGUGUUUGUAAU